rnacentral:rRNA from 1 species
AUUGAACGCUGGCGGCAUGCUCUACACAUGCAAGUCGAACGGUAACAGGCCGCAAGGUGCUGACGGGUGGCGAACGGGUGAGUAAUGCAUCGGAACGUGCCCAGUCGUGGGGGAUAACGCAGCGAAAGCUGCGCUAAUACCGCAUACGAUCUAUGGAUGAAAGCGGGGGACCGUAAGGCCUCGCGCGACUGGAGCGGCCGAUGUCAGAUUAGGUAGUUGGUGGGGUAAAGGCUCACCAAGCCAGCGAUCUGUAGCUGGUCUGAGAGGACGACCAGCCACACUGGGACUGAGACACGGCCCAGACUCCUACGGGAGGCAGCAGUGGGGAAUUUUGGACAAUGGGCGCAAGCCUGAUCCAGCAAUGCCGCGUGCAGGAAGAAGGCCUUCGGGUUGUAAACUGCUUUUGUACGGAACGAAACGGUCCUGGUUAAUACCUGGGGCUAAUGACGGUACCGUAAGAAUAAGCACCGGCUAACUACGUGCCAGCAGCCGCCGUAAGAC